CGGGGGCGGGGCUCGGCUCUUGCUUGCGCAAGUCUGCGCUCCUCCUGCGCCCGGUGCCGUGGCGAGGUAGCGCUGCGCCUCUGCGCGCUGCGCCUUUGCGCGCUGCUUUGCCCCGGCAGGUUCGGCUGCCCGCAGUGCGCACAGGCGUCCCUCUCCAGCCGGAGCCGGGCAGCGUCCUUUGGAAAUGCCCCCGGGGCUGGCUGGGCCACGGGCGGAUCGGCCGAAGCACCCGCAGGCUGCGCCGGAGUUGCUGCUUCUCUGCGCCCCGCGGCUGGCAAGAGGAGUCGCUCCCCAUCCGGCGCGGGAGGGAUCUACCUAGGAACUCCUCACCCGGCUCGGCGGGGUCUGUGCUGCCCGCGGAUCCUCCCCACCGUGGAAUCUCUCUCUCUCUGUGCGUUUUGGGGAUGUAUCGUCCUGCCCCUUUGUGUGGAAUAGACCGGGGCCCGUUCGUGUGACUGGCGCACCCUGGGUGCUGAAUGGAAGACAGUCCUUCAUGAAGCCUCCGGGUCAGACUUUUGGCACGCUGGCAUUGUAGACUGAAAUGGCAUCGGAUAGCCGGGAAGACACGUUCUGUGGCGAGAGAUGGAGACUUCUGGGCACGUGGACCAGGUAUGCGAAGGGGAAAACCAACUUGCUGCUGGAGCAUCUCUGUAAAAGAGGUUUCGUUCCACCUUUUGGGAAGUGGAAUCCUAGGAAAGCACAAGAGCAACCCUUCACCUGCAAGACCUGAAGUAGAGGUGUUGGGUGAAAGGAGUUCAGCCUGGUUUCUACAGGAGUCUAGAUGGUUUUGGAGGUUAUGAUGGGAUCUUAAAAGGAGCCUCCCUCCACCUGGAAACUACCUCACAGUGCAGUUACUGUGGUUCACUUUCUAUGCUUUGCCCCAUUUUUUUUUCUGUUUUACUCCGCUUCCUCCUGGUUCUGACCGUACCUUGGGGAAUCCCAUACAGAGAUGGGACUUGACCUCCUUCAAGAUGCACUAUUCUGGGCCUUUAGACCUGGAAAUUCUUCUCUUGGCCAGGAGGCUUUCAGGCCGGCUAUGGUGGGGUGAAUGGCUAAAUGCUUUCAAGUCAACCAGGGGCUUGAUUUCCAUGCUCUUUGGAAAGAGCCCCACAGUUUGCUUAUUUUCCAUGGAAACAGCUACAGAUUUUUUUUUUCUCCUUUCUCCCUUCUGACUUCUUUGGAUCUUGGUCCUCUACGUACGGCUGGUUUAUGACCCAGUGUAGAUGCAGCCCCUUGCCACAAAAAUAGCAAAGGUGAAAACCUCUGCUGACGUGCAACUUGCUGAAUGAAGGGAGCAAGCUGUGUGCACCUGCAUGGUGAUGAGAACAUGUUGGGAUGUUUGCUGGGAUAGUCUCUUGAGAUGCAGGUCCUCUCGUGGUGUAGAGAAAAGACGUGUUGUGUGGAUACCUCAGUUCAGUGCAAGUCCACGGAGACACUUAAUUGCAGCUAUCUUUAAACCAGAAUGGGCGGGGGACCAGAUGAAGGAACACAGGAGACCGGUAACUCCAGGGAGCAAGCAUCAAGGCACCAGUAACAAACUGGGAAAAUGUCACCUUCAGCAUCUAUUAAAUGUCUCCUUUAAAAAAAAAAAUCAAUUGCCUCUCUUGCUACUCAGUCCCUCGUGCCUUAGCUCUGAGACCUCAGCACUGGGGUGUCAGGCAGCAGGAGAAUGCGAGAGUCGGAUACAAAGGAAGCCAGGGUGCUGGCCACCAUCUCGGCACCUGAAUGUGCCAGAGUGGAAAUUGGAUGUCCUGUCCUACUCCCACCUGAACACCCGUCUGAAACGUCACCGCCUGAUGGUGUGAGCACCAAUGUACAACCGGCUUACGUGGCAAUUGUCCCAAUAACGUGUGUGGUUUUCAGCUCCCAAAUGUGUGUUGUCUCCCUCCUACCCGAUAUUCAUGCAAGGCACCAGAAGUGCUCUGUGGAAUUACACAGCAACAGGAGCACUAACUAAUACGGAGACUGAAAAUCUUUUUCAAAAUGGAGGCGAUGUGACUUCAGUUCUCUGUGGGAACUGUUUUCUCACAGAAGCCAAGUUAGAAUAAAGACUGUAUGUUUAAUAUCUUUGUAUUCCGUGUGCCAUGAUGCUUCUUUUUACCAAGGGUCUAGAUUUGAGAUUGGCAGCAUUUUGUGGUUAAAGUUUGCAUAGUUUUCUGUAUGCUGUGGCUUCCUGCCUCUGCUUUGUGUUUUCAGUUCAGAUUUGAAGAAACUCACUGGAUUUCAUGUCGUUUUUUUACUGCAAGCGGCCCUUGGCCCCAGAAUUGCUGAAAAGGGGUUUUGACCUAGUCUGUACCCUUGGGCUGAAAUUUGAGUGUUGAUGAAACCCCGAAUCAAAAGAUGGUUGAAUGGCUUGUGGUUUUGCAGUGAUGGUUCUGUGUGGCUCAUGGUGAAAAAUGAAGGGAGCAAGCUUGUAACUGGCUCCUUUUUAAUUAGCCCAGUUUAACUGGUGGGCAUAUAGGUACGUGAAAUGGCCCCUCUAUAUGCCCAGAUGCAGAACUGGAUUCUGAGUGGUGCAGAAUAGAUGUGAUCAAAAGGAUAUUCUCUUCCUUCUGUUCGCCAAUGAUCCAAAGGUAGAUCAAAUGUUGGUCUCUCUCAUGAAGUAGAUUUCCUUGGUGGAUGUGGUUACAGCCACACUGGUGUAAGUAAAGGAGAAUUUAACUGUGUGCAAACUGUCUCCUAAAACUGUUUCCAUCCCGUUGUGUAGUGCUGCAUUAAAGCAAUAAUGUACUUCCACGGUGCACAGAGGAUCCAAAGAGUAAGUGCAGAGUUAAAACGGCUUGAAUGCAAGAAUAGCCCGUUGGUCUGUUCAGCUGCUGGAGUGCUUUUGAAGAGGUCUGCCAGUAUUUCUCCUCCUGGAUGCAUGAAGAGUUGAGCGGAGCCCAGUGGAUUGGUGUUCUGCAGCAGCUGUGACCAGCAGGAACAGUCCCCAGGCAAAUUAAAGGGUUCCCCUCUGUGAGUCAAACCUGGAUUUCCAUGUCUCAGAGGGGUUUUCUGUGUUAGUCUGUAACUUUAAAAAUGAGUGGUCCCGGGGCACCGUAGAAACUA